GCCUGUGUGGCUGAGUCGGUUAAGCGUCUGACUUCCGCCCAGGUCAUGAUCUCACAGUUGGCGAGUUCGAGCCCCGCAUCGGGCU
rnacentral:tRNA from 1 species